rnacentral:misc_RNA from 1 species
AAGCAGAGGAGGAAGCGACAGAGGAAGCAGCAAAAUAUGAAGUACAAUCCAAGAGUAUCCUCCUCUCGCCGGAAGAGCAGGAAGGCUCAUUUCACGGCGCCUUCAAGUGCGCGCCGGAUUUUAAUGAGCGCACCCUUAUCGUCCGAGUUACGUGUAAAGUACAACGUAAGAUCUAUGCCGGUGAGGAAAGAUGACGAAGUUCAGGUUGUUCGUGGAACUUACAAGGGCCGUGACGGGAAAGUUGUCCAAGUGUACCGUAAGAAAUGGGUGAUCCACAUUGAACGUAUAACCAGAGAGAAGGUCAAUGGAUCUACUGUGAACGUUGGUAUUCAUCCUUCGAAGGUUGUUGUUACAAAGCUAAGGCUUGACAAAGACAGGAGAUCACUACUCGACCGCAAGGCUAAGGGACGAGCUGCUGCUGACAAGGACAAGGGCACUAAGUUCACUUCUGAGGAUAUCAUGCAGAAAAUCGAUUGAUUUUUCACUCAUUUUGUCUGGUAUUGCUAUUUUAGCUAAAGAGAAUUUAUAUCAGUCCGUUUCAGUUCAUUAGUGACAUUUAAUUUUGUUGAAGUUUCUGUUUUUGCUUAAAUCAAUGAUGAUGAUACUUCAGAACUCCAUAACAUAGUUAGAUUAUUAUGUUAGCUACUAUAUUCGACUGUUGGCUGUACCUGUAAUUCUGCUCAAACACUCAUGAAUGAUGCUG